GGAAUGGUGCGGUGUGGCGGCUCGUCGGACUCGUAACCCGAAGGUCGCAGGUUCAAAUCCUACUUCCACAACCA
rnacentral:tRNA from 2 species